rnacentral:lncRNA from 1 species
GGAAAAGAAUUUAAAAGGUGAAAGGGAAAGAAGGAGAAAUGAUGGGCGGCUUCAUGACAGAUGACUAAUGUUUCCAAUUUGCAGGGCGAGGGCUCCGAAAGUCUGAUCAUGAACUCCACUGCACUGCUAAGUCAAGCGGAAUGCCUUGGUGGCACACCACUCAAUUAUCCCCACUGCAGUCACCAUGCCUGACCCUGUCGGCGACUUCUGAGACACUGGAUGUUAUUGUGGCUCUAAAAUGGAGCAGCCAACAUCAGCAUACCAUAUUCAGCAUCUUCUGGGACCAUGCAGGACUCUCUACAGACCUCUGAAACCAAGAGAUCAGAUUUUCUUCCCAGUUCAACCGUUUCCAAAGGAUUGUCACAGAGAUGCAGUGAUGCUUUUAUGGGAAACUUUCCUGCAAUGGCACCUACCUGAAAUACUAUCUUUAAAAGCUCAUCCUAAGGUAUGUAAAGGGAGGCCAUUAUAUGUAACUAAGGAGAAUGGUUGCUCAGUGUACAUUUUCGGGUCCA